AGCUUGCUCCCAUUGGUUAGCGGCGGACGGGUGAGUAACACGUGGGCAACCUGCCUGUAAGACUGGGAUAACUUCGGGAAACCGGAGCUAAUACCGGAUAAUCCAUUUCCUCUCAUGAGGAAAUGCUGAAAGUCGGUUUCGGCUGACACUUACAGAUGGGCCCGCGGCGCAUUAGCUAGUUGGUGAGGUAACGGCUCACCAAGGCGACGAUGCGUAGCCGACCUGAGAGGGUGAUCGGCCACACUGGGACUGAGACACGGCCCAGACUCCUACGGGAGGCAGCAGUAGGGAAUCUUCCACAAUGGACGAAAGUCUGAUGGAGCAACGCCGCGUGAGCGAUGAAGGCCUUCGGGUCGUAAAGCUCUGUUGUUAGGGAAGAACAAGUACCGGAGUAACUGCCGGUACCUUGACGGUACCUAACCAGAAAGCCACGGCUAACUACGUGCCAGCAGCCGCGGUAAUACGUAGGUGGCAAGCGUUGUCCGGAAUUAUUGGGCGUAAAGCGCGCGCAGGCGGUCCUUUAAGUCUGAUGUGAAAGCCCACGGCUCAACCGUGGAGGGUCAUUGGAAACUGGGGGACUUGAGUGCAGAAGAGGAAAGCGGAAUUCCACGUGUAGCGGUGAAAUGCGUAGAGAUGUGGAGGAACACCAGUGGCGAAGGCGGCUUUCUGGUCUGUAACUGACGCUGAGGCGCGAAAGCGUGGGAGCAAACAGGAUUAGAUACCCUGGUAGUCCACGCCGUAAACGAUGAGUGCUA
rnacentral:rRNA from 1 species